rnacentral:rRNA from 1 species
AUGGGGAGCUUCUGGAGACAGAAGCGAAGGGGCUGGCACUAAACUGUCGAGAAAAGCUUCUAGUGAGGACUCAGGCACCCGUACCGAAACCGACACAGGUAGGCAGGAUGAGAAUUCUAAGGUGCGCGGGAAAACCCUCGUUAAGGAACUCGGCAAAAUAUAUCCGUAACUUCGGGAAAAGGAUAACCCAGCGUACGUGAAGUGCAGAAGCGCAUGGAGCGGAGAUGGGUGGCAGAAGAGAGGCCCAAGCGACUGUUUACCACAAACACAGGCGUCUGCUAAAGCGAAAGCUGAUGUAUAGAUGCUGACACCUGCCCGGUGCUGGAAGGUUAAGAGGAAGUGUUAGCGCAAGCGAAGCAGUGAAUUGAAGCCCCAGUAAACGGCGGCCGUAACUAUAACGGUCCUAAGGUAGCGAAAUUCCUUGUCGGGUAAGUUCCGACCCGCACGAAAGGUGUAACGAUUUGGGCACUGUCUCAACGAGGGACCCGGUGAAAUUGAAGUACCUGUGAAGAUGCAGGUUACCCGCGACUGGACAGAAAGACCCCAUGGAGCUUUACUGUAACCUGAGAUUGGAUUCCGGUAAGAGAUGUACAGGAUAGUUGGGAGGCUGAGAAGUGAGUACGCCAGUAUUCACGGAGCCAUUGGUGGGAUACCAACCUUGUUUUAUUGGAAUUCUAACGAGAAGCGUAACGAGCUUGCGGACAGUCUCAGGCGGGCAGUUUGACUGGGGCGGUCGCCUCCGAAAGAGUAACGGAGGCGCCCAAAGGUUCCCUCAGCGCGGACGGAAACCGCGCGAAGAGUGCAAAGGCAGAAGGGAGCUUGACUGCGAGACGGACAGGUCGAGCAGGGACGAAAGUCGGGCUUAGUGAUCCGGUGGUAGAGAGUGGAAUUGCCAUCGCUCAACGGAUAAAAGCUACCCUGGGGAUAACAGGCUUAUCUCUCCCAAGAGUCCAUAUCGACGGGGAGGUUUGGCACCUCGAUGUCGGCUCAUCACAUCCUGGGGCUGAAGUAGGUCCCAAGGGUUGGGCUGUUCGCCCAUUAAAGUGGUACGCGAGCUGGGUUCAGAACGUCGUGAGACAGUUCGGUCCCUAUCCAUCGCGGGCGUAAGAAACUUGAAAGGGGCUGCUCCUAGUACGAGAGGACCGGAGUGGACCGACCAAUGGUGUACCAGUCAUGGCGCCAGCCGUGCAGCUGGGUAGCUACGUCGGGGACGGAUAAACGCUGAAAGCAUCUAAGCGUGAAACCAGCCUAGAGAUGAGGUUUCUCAUUGUUUAACAAGUAAGGUCCCACAAAGACGAUGUGGUUGAUAGGCCGGGAGUGGAAGUACAGCGAUGUACGGAGCGGACCGGUACUAAUAGACCGAGGACUUGACU